rnacentral:rRNA from 1 species
GACAGAGGUCCCAAGCGUUAGGCGGAAUCACUGGGCUUAAAGCGUGUGUAGGCGGAUGUCUAAGUACCUUGUGAAAUCCCACGGCUCAACCGUGGAACUGCUUGGUAUACUGGAUGUCUUGAGCCAUCUAGGGGCUACUGGAACAAAUGGUGGAGCGGUGAAAUGCGUAGAUAUCAUUUGGAACGCCAAUGGUGAAAACAAGUAGCUGGGGAUGUGCUGACGCUGGAGGCACAGAAAGCCGGUGGGGAGCGAAACGGG